rnacentral:lncRNA from 1 species
AUCUUUUAUGACAUUCUACACAAAAUUUGAUGACGUAUACACAGCACAGUGUCUAUUCGUCGAAAAAUUUAGCAGGUAGAUUUUAAUUUACCCUGUUCCUUUAUAUACUGUUUGUCCCUAACCUCUUUGACAGAAUGUCCUGCAUGCUUAUCCUUUCAUACCUUAUUAACAUUGGAAUCGGAAAUUAAUCACAAACAGUAUAGUGUUCGGGUAUCGGGUCCGUUCGUCCUGAUAGUGAAAACAUGUUCGCCCUGGAUCCGUUCGCAGUGUGUUCGUUCUCCCUUGGCACUUGUUUCUAUCCAUGGGAACGUAUAACAUUGAUAGUGGCUCUUCCCAUGGACAGAAACAAGUGCCUGUGUUCGUGUUACUGCACCGUUCUCUGAGGCAGAGUGAAGUAAAAUUAUGCCUAUUAUCAGGCUUCAAAUUAGUCCAAAUAAUUAUGACGUCUUGAAAGGCUAUUAUAAUUUUUUUCUUUGACGCCUUACUUCGACGUCAUAAUGCUGAAGCCGCCAUUUUCGGUUGGACUUUGAGAGCAUAUUUUGCUCUCAACUUUGAGACCCAAUUUAGCCAUCAAAUUUUCAAUGAAAGCUAAAACAAAAUGCAUAUAUAAAAAUUCUUACCUUUUAUGUGUUUGUUUGUGCAAAAUAUUUCCAAUUAAUCCCUACAGAAAUAAUAAUAUAAGUAACAAUUCCAUCCGAGGCGGGAACAUGUCGACUGCAUUUUUUAAAACGUUUGUCUGAUUUCUUUUUAGGAGAUUAUAAAUUAAUUUUUACACCAAACUUGGUAAAACCCGAAUUUCCGGAACCAUUGUUUUACAUUAUCCGGAAAUUCAGGUUGGUCAAAAUGUACCGAGUUUGGUUCAAAAAUAUAUUUUAUACACCUAAAAUGAAGCAUCUUGAGGAGAAAUCAGCUAAAACGUUUUUAUAAAGCAGUAAUUCCUCUCAAAGUCCAAUUGAAUAUAGUUGGCGUUAUGACGUCGAAGUACAUUGUAAGGCGUCAAAGAAAAAAAUUAUAAUAGCCUUUCAAGACGUCAUAAUUAUUUGGACUAGCUUCAAAUGGUCAUUUUGGCUACAUUUAGCGAAAAUUAGUUUUACUGUGAAUCAUGAAAAUAUACUUAUCGUGAUUUGUCGGAGGUCUCAAAUAAUUAUCAUUACCAUCAUUUUUGACAAAAGCUUAAAGUGAUUUGUCAUAAUCAGUCAAUGUUUUUUAUUGUCUAAAAGAAAUUAUAUUUUAUUGUCGUACAUCAAACAUCACUGAACAUAAUUUUAAUUGGUAUCUGGAUGAUUCAUUCCAACUCUGAUUCGUACCAACAAAUUCGUCCCAAGUUGCAUGGUCAGUUCGUUCCAACUUUUCCAAAAACUGGUCAUUUCGUUCCAACUUAUUCAAGAACAGUAUUAAACAAUAUUAACCAUUUAAAUAGCCUCAUUAUUUUGAUUUUUUAUGCUGUACUGAUAAAAAACGGUUUAUUAAUUGGGAAGAACGAUACAUUGGGCAUGAUAAAUAUUGAUAAUUAUUAAUUAUUGAGGUAAGUACAAAUAUAUUUCAUGACAAUUUAAGAUUUUAAAUAAAUGAAUAAAAUGACUAACUAGUGAUAUUUUCAAAGAAAUAGUUAUCAUUAUAAUUGAUUAUUGUAUUUCGAUGAUGUGCGCAUAACAGUUGUUAAUGCAUUCAUCAAAAGAAUAAUAUCGUACUUAUCUUGGGUCAUAAAUGCUUGUCAAUAAUAAUUGAAGGCUGACAUACCACAUUUGACUUACGUGCAUCGUUUCUACUCAUUAGCACUGCCCGGUUGUGUAUUUUUUACAAUAUAAAAAUUUACUCAGUGUCCUUGUAUGAAGCCAAAAAAAAAAGUAAUCAGCCACAAGCAGAUCACAGUCCAAGAUGCUGGAGCUUUGGGACAGCUAUAGAAACCAGCAAAUUACAGUUACCCAGCUGAUGACAUCUGUUGCACUUAUCAUUGUGCCAUCCGUUGACCAGCAAAAUGAAAUAUGUGACAUACUGAAAGACUAUUGAACAAUUAUCCAUGAACUGUUAAGAUGAACAUAUGUUAUUAAAAAAUGAUCUUUUAUAUGAAAUACAGUCUGCACCAAAAACUUUUUCAACUACUAGUCCGAAGACCAAUAUUCCAAAAUUUUUCUUAUUGGUCCAAACAAAGUUUUGCAAUAACUUACUAGCCCCAAUGAAAUUUUACUAGUCUAGGGCAUCGGACUAGUGGCCAAUCGUGCAGACUGGAAAUAUACAGAAAAAAUUGACAAGGAAUUGCCGAUUUUUGCCGUGCACUGUAGGUUCAUUUACACAAAUACAGUGAUAUGCACAUAAUAUUAAUAAUGAACUUAAUCAGUUGGAACACAUUGUUAAGUCGGAUUAAUAAUGAAAUAAAUCAGUUGGAACGAAUUGACAAUUGACUUGGUACGAAUUGUCCAAAUCUGGAACGAACUGGCUUGGAACGAAUCGGACAUGGAACGAAUUGACUAGAAUUCUUUUAAUUUAGCAUUAACAUCAUUUGGCAAGUAUUUUUAAAAAUUAUCAGCAAGACAAGAUCUACUAUUGAGACAUCUUUUUGAUAUUGUCAGAAGACUCCUUAUUGAAUUUUUUGUCAUUUAAUGAUGAUUUUUACUCAUUUUUGCCUAAUAUUAAGUUAAAAAUGAUAAUAGAAAGAUGGAAAUUUUAUUUAUAAAGCAAACUUGAUGAGAAAAACAAGAUCUACAAUCAUACUAUUAAACGCUUCUCUUCCUUCCACGAUUAAUUAAUCACCAUGCUUCUGUGUUCUAUAGGUAACAUGCAUAGUCGCAUUUGUCAUCCAUUCUUAUGAUUAUUCAGAUUGAGUUAUUUUUGCAGAAAAACGACAAAAAAGGAGUCUGGAUAUUGAUUCCGUCAUCAGACUGACUUUUCGUCAGAUAAGACUUCCGGUUGAAAACAACCAAUUGUAUGAUAGAUAACAAAAAUCGAAUAAUAAAUAAGCCAAUCAGAGCGUUCUCCAUAUCAUGGUGUUUAGAUCGCAAGAAACACAACUAUUAUACCUCCUUAGAGAGGACAAUUAUUUUACGCGUUUUAUCUACAUGUAAACUACGAUUAUGCUACUUUAAUAUAUAGAUCCUCUCUGUAUUCUGUCUACUAUUUUCUUUGCAUGUUUAUACUAUUUAAGGGGUCAUACCAGUUGCAUAUAUAUAAAAAUAAAUAAAACAUGUGGAAACAAGAAUGUGUCCAUAUAUAUGUACACAGAUGCCACCUCAGCACUAUAUUUACUAAGUUUCCAGUUGAUUGGACUUCAACUUCAUCAAAAGCUACCUUGACCAAAAACUUUAACCUGAAGCGGGACAGACAGACGGACAUCACGAACAAACGAACGAACGCACGGAUAUACAGACUAGAAAACAUAAUGCACAUAAAUUGGGCAUACAAAUUUAUUGUUGAAAGUGAAAGUAGUGAUUUGGCAAAAAUGAAAGUAGGGUAGAGACUAGAGGUAGGCAGGACCUUUUUCGGGACUUCGAGAUAGGGUGUUUUUAAGCUCGGGAUUUGGGGAUUGAUCAAUACGGGAUCCGGGAAUAUAUUUUUCCAUUUCGGUAUUUCGGGAUAUGAAUUUGUUUACAUUCUGCAUCUCGAGAUUUCAUGUUUUUAAGACCGGGAUUUCGGGAUCAGGACUUCUGACCCCCCUCUCAAAUUAGCCUUAGUCGGACUUAGUCAUUUAUACAAGGUUCAUAUCCUACCAUUGGCAUGUUAAUAAGGCUCUCAAAAGAAAAAGCACUGAUGGAUCCUAUUGUCCUAGAAGCAUAUUUUAUUAGACUAAUAAUGGUCUAUAAAUAAGAUGUUACAUUUAUUUCAUGUUUGAAGCGGUGCAAAUUUUUAAUUUAAUUUGACUUUUACCAAAAGAUGCAUUGUAGCAAAGGAGAAGAAUAUUUGUGGUCUGAGGCCAGUAACACGAAAAUAGUUGAAUUUAACAAAAAGGGAACAAAUUUCAAACUUUGGAAAAAGGGAGAGGGCUUUUGAUACCUUUUAUGAAAUUCUCCAUACAUAAUUAUCUUUUACAAACAUCAUCCUACAACAGUUCACAAGCUGUAUAUGCCCGCGAUUUCGCGGGUGUGUUCUAGUAAGGUUUAUAACAAGGAAAUCAUCUGGCGACUCUUUAACGCUGUAAUUGCCCAUUAAUAACAAUUUUACAAUUUUUGUUGAGUUUUUCCUUAAGGUGGCUAGGGAGUCUUAACUAAAAUUGACAGAAUUUUUUGAUAACUUGUCAAAAUGAAGUUUUUAUCAUGCUUUUUUCAAAAAUAUAUUGAAAAGUAUGGGUCACCGGACUUUUUUUCACGCUGCAGGUUGCGCAAAAGUGUCCGAUUUUAUAUAGAUUAUGCAUGGAAAAUCAAAUUUUGUGUGAUAAAAAAGAAAGGUGCUAUCAGAACUUUAAGAUAAAAUGUGAGAAGAUUGCUCUUAUAACAUGCUUUUUGAUAAGAAAAAGAAGAAAAUGGGUCACCGAACUUGUUUUCUUGCUACAUAUCAAAUAGGUAAAUUCAUAACACUUUCUAUUUUAAAAAUUACUUUAUCUGAGUUAUCUCCCCUUAUUUGGUAAAGUUGAAAAAAUCUAAUCAAACACAAACAAGUGUUUUUUGAGAAAUUACAGCUGUAAUUAUGAUGAAUCACACAAUUUUCUAUAUUUAUUUUAAAAGUCUUUUACAUAAAUUACCUACAACUCUCAAAAUUUGCACAUUUCAUCAAAUAUCUAGACCAAAAGUAUCUGCUUCUUCAAAAUCAAGAUGGAGGAAGACUUAAAGGGCACUAGCUAUGAGAUAGAUAAAAAAUCUAAUGUAUUAUUUCUUAUGCUCAAUCAUUAAUGAAAUGCAACUUGUGAAAUAAUAAUUUACUUUAGCAGCCUGUAUGGUUCAAUUUUGUCAAAAUAAGCUAAAAGCAUUUAUUAUGAAUUAUUCACUUGCAAGUAAUAGUUCGACCUCAUUGAAUCCGCCGUAAUCAUGUGAACUUCAAUUUGACCCCUUAGAUUGAGAUGGAUAACUGUAUGUGUAAAGUUAUUUAAAGGAAAAGAAUUUCAACAUUGAAAGUGAAACAAAAGUAAAUCAUUUGAUUGACUGAUUCGAUCCACAAAGAACAUUCUUAUACAGGUAAAAACGAUGAUAAACAUUUAUUUUUCAUUUAUAAUAUAAAAUUAAAUAGAUCUAGAAUAAUCCAACAGCAUGAGUUUGCUUAAUUUAUUUAUAUCUAUAUUUAUGUUUACAUUGCUUAUAUGGUCAUCGAAUGACUUUAGGGGUCAACUCGAUAAUUAAUUAGAUGGCGUCUAGACUAAAAUACACACGAAAUGAAGCUACGUAUUUUCAUUUGACAGCUAGUGCCCCUUUAAUGUCGAAAUGGUAAGUGAACUCCUACUUAGAGUUUUGUGCUUUAAUGACGAUAUUUAUCAAUUUAUUUUUACACAUUUUGUAUUGCAGCGGUAUAAUUUCUUAAAAUAUUCUAACUAUUUAGUUCUAAUCUGUCAGUGAGCUCAUUAACAUUACAAAAGUUUAAAUUGUGUAGCUGAACAGCUACAUUUUUUGUAAAUUCUACAUUAUUGAUCAUGACACACACAUUUGAAUAAUAUAUUACAUGUAAUUGCUUAAACACAAAACUUUCAUUUCAGUAAAGUAGAUAAUGGCUGAUGAUAAUGUUGAAGAAUUUUUAGAAGAUGAAUCUUUAUCAGAAAAAGAAUUCCACCUCCAGAAUCCUGAUGUAGUUAUAAGGGGGACAACUCUUAGACACUCUGCUACAACAGAUACUUUAGAUUCUGUAUAUCUAGAACCAACAGCAGUUGAGGAAGACGUUCAAGAUAUUAUUACGGCCAUACCAGAUUUAGUUAAAG